rnacentral:rRNA from 1 species
UAACGCGUAGGUAACCUGCCUUGUAGCGGGGGAUAACUAUUGGAAACGAUAGCUAAUACCGCAUAACAAUGGGUGACUCAUGUCAUUUAUUUGAAAGGGGGCAAAUGCUCCACUACAAGAUGGACCUGCGUUGUAUUAGCUAGUAGGUGAGGUAACGGCUCACCUAGGCGACGAUACAUAGCCGACCUGAGAGGGUGAUCGGCCACACUGGGACUGAGACACGGCCCAG